rnacentral:lncRNA from 1 species
AAUUUGGAACGUCAGCCUACGAAAACGUUCCAUGUAUUUUUUCGGACAGAACUUCCAAUUGAUUUGUUACCAUUUCAUUAAACUCUCAUGCAAAAAUUAGACUGGUGCACCAACUGGGCAUUUUAAUGAUUCCAACACGAGGAACAUGUCAAAUGGCAUGAAUUAUAUUGGUAAUAAAUAUCAGUCUGAUUUUUGCAUGAGAGUUUAAUGAAACACAAAUAAAUUGGAAGUUCUGUCCGACAAAAUAUAUGGAGCGUUUGCGUAAACUGACGUUCCAAAUUUUUAAACUGUUCCACAAUUAAAACUUCUCCUGUUCCAGUGUUCCCGUACAUCAAAGUAUGGUCGACUAGACACCGUUAAGCUAUUAACAAAUUUUCAGCUUGCUAUUAAUCAAAUUUUUUUGAUACGCGGGAUCCAGGUCUAUUACCAAAACUUAAAGUAGAAUAACCCCUUAAAAAGUAAAAUGCUAAUUUUAUUGCGCACUGUUUUAAACUAAGAACUAAUUUUUAUUUUUUUCUCUGCAAAUACAUUGAAUUGACUAAACUCCUGUACAAAGUUGUAAAAUUUUAAAGUUAAAGGAUAUAAAAGCUGUUACAUACUUAGGAAAUUAUUAUUUUGCCAAAGAGGCCAAUUAAAAUAGCGUUACUUUUAAUAUUGGCCUAUGCAGCAACGAACAAAUUCGACAAUUAGUUCAAUUUUGGCCUAUAUUUGGACAAGAAUCUACAGGUCGAGCAAGUCUCGUAAAUUUCACGAUUGCGAGCCACGCUUCACGCAACCGUGUUUGCGUACUUGUGUUUCAAGUUGCGUGGUCGUACGGAGUUAUAUUUACCAAAUUGAAAUAUAAUCGUUUUCAAAAUUAAAUCAAUAUGUCAAUAUGGCUACUGGGUGUAAAAGAUAAAUCUUAUUCUAUCUGUUCUUAAUGAGUUUUAGAUAAUUUUAGUUGUAUUUCUUUGUAAUGUUGUGUUGUACAAAGAUUAAUUUAACAUUUUCUCUGGAAGUAUUAAUUUAGAAAGAUAAUAUGCUUCAUUGGUGUUGUGUUUUGAAGUGUGAAAUGUGAUAAAGUCAAGAUAAAGUUCACUUUUAAACUGAACUAAAUAAGGUAUCUGAGAGACAACAAUGGUUAAAUGCAAUACAAUGUACAGGUUUUACUAGCGAAAUGAAAAUUUUCCUGUCCUGUCUGCUGUAAUCAUUUUAUAUCUGGAAAACCAGCCGACUUAAUAGAUAAUAACAAUCUCCAGAUUGGGUUCCUUCAAUAAAUAUGGUCUAUAAACACAAUGAAAUAAGUUCCCCAAAAUCUAAAAUGGAGUGGUAUCAAAGGAGAAUUAAAGGGAAAAAUAUUCAUAUUGAAAUUAUUUAUAAGGCACUGGACUGUCUUAAAUUCUACAAUAAUACUAGAAUCAGCUGAGAGAAGUGGUCUACAAAAAAACCAGGAAGGAAACGGAAUAUGUGGCUACGAAAGGCAAAAGAAAGGUUUACAAAGCAAAUGUGACACAUUUUUUUGAAAUAUUUAGGAAUAUCAGUAAAUUGCAUUAAAAAAAUGUAUGAAAAGAUUUUG